rnacentral:rRNA from 1 species
UACGUAGGUCCCGAGCGUUGUCCAGAUUUAUUGGGCGUAAAGCGAGCGCAGGUGGUUUAUUAAGUCUGGUGUAAAAGGCAGUGGCUCAACCAUUGUAUGCAUUGGAAACUGGUAGACUUGAGUGCAGGAGAGGAGAGUGGAAUUCCAUGUGUAGCGGUGAAAUGCGUAGAUAUAUGGAGGAACACCGGUGGCGAAAGCGGCUCUCUGGCCUGUAAUUGACACUGAGGCUCGAAAGCGUGGGGAGCAAACAGG